GUACUUGGGCGUCCGCGGUUUUGGAAUUGGCCCUCUGCCUGCUGAGAACAGCCGUUUGCAAGAUGGCUGCUUACAGAGAUUCACCAUCGUGCUUUUUACUUGUGCCAGAGGGGUGACUUACAUCGAUGCCAUGUAAAAGGUAUGAAGUAGGUGACUCCUGGCAAGAAGAGUGAGAUGGAGCUGUCGUUAAGGAAUGGUGCCUGAGGACAAACUUGCGUUUACAAUGCUGCACUUGGAUUUUACCAUCUAAAGCUUUCAUCUGACGCGGCGAUUUCCUGAACAUCAACAUUACAAGAGUUCGCUCUGAGUUAUUUGUAUAGCAGUUCGUAUAAACAUUGUAGCGCAAUGUAUUCUACUGAAUAUCAACAGUAACAGUACACUUGUGUAUGGUUUUAUUAAAUAUUUUCUACAAU